GACGAACGCUGGCGGCGCGCCUAACACAUGCAAGUCGAACGAGCGAGAGAGAGCUUGCUUUCUCGAGCGAGUGGCGAACGGGUGAGUAACGCGUGAGGAACCUGCCUCAAAGAGGGGGACAACAGUUGGAAACGACUGCUAAUACCGCAUAAGCCCACAGGUCGGCAUCGACCAGAGGGAAAAGGAGCAAUCCGCUUUGAGAUGGCCUCGCGUCCGAUUAGCUAGUUGGUGAGGUAACGGCCCACCAAGGCGACGAUCGGUAGCCGGACUGAGAGGUUGAACGGCCACAUUGGGACUGAGACACGGCCCAGACUCCUACGGGAGGCAGCAGUGGGGAAUAUUGCACAAUGGGGGAAACCCUGAUGCAGCGACGCCGCGUGGAGGAAGAAGGUCUUCGGAUUGUAAACUCCUGUUGUUGAGGAAGAUAAUGACGGUACUCAACAAGGAAGUGACGGCUAACUACGUGCCAGCAGCCGCGGUAAAACGUAGGUCACAAGCGUUGUCCGGAAUUACUGGGUGUAAAGGGAGCGCAGGCGGGAAGACAAGUUGGAAGUGAAAUCUAUGGGCUCAACCCAUAAACUGCUUUCAAAACUGUUUUUCUUGAGUAGUGCAGAGGUAGGCGGAAUUCCCGGUGUAGCGGUGGAAUGCGUAGAUAUCGGGAGGAACACCAGUGGCGAAGGCGGCCUACUGGGCACCAACUGACGCUGAGGCUCGAAAGUGUGGGUAGCAAACAGG
rnacentral:rRNA from 1 species